GACAGACUGUUAUAAAUAAUUUUUAUUCAUAGUGAAAAAUGUGUGAUUUAUCAGUAUAUAAGUCACACCGGAGUUUAAGUCCCAGAACCUCCCAACCAGUAAAUUAAUGCAAUUUAACACUCCAGAAAAUGUAGAACUGACAAUGAUCAGAGAAGCUGAACGUCAGUGUUGUAAAUCUGGACACCUUGUUUUCUUCUGUCAUGUUGAUCUUCCAGCAUUUCUGCU